GACAAGAAUCUGGGCAUUGCAGGAGGAGACCAGGGGAGAUUAGGCCUGAUCCACACCCCACCUGCCUCUCACUGACUCUUUCAGGCGCUGGAGGGCUGGUGUGAUGACAUUCCUGUACUCGGGUAGCUGAAGCCAGUCCAUCUCCCUCUCUUCUUUCCUUUCCCUCCUUCCUGUUUCUCUCCUGCCCCACCUUCCCCACCUUGCUGGUGGCCCAGAAGCACGGUGGUCCCUGGGAGGCAGCGGGAGGGCACCUGAGGCUGGGGUGUGUGACUCACCCUCCCUCCUGCCCUCCUGCCUGGGGGUUUUGGAGGAGCCUCUGAGAGCAAUCUCUGCCUGGGGGAGGACAUACGCUCCAGUCCCGAGGAGAGCUUCAAAGUCAUUGAGGGUUGUGGCUUCAACAGUGAUUUUUACAGAUGCUCAAGAUGUCCUCGCUCAUUUUCUUUGAUUAUGCUUUGAUUUAGAAAUCCAGGCUCAUUAGAUGCUGUAGAAAGAAACCUUUCCGUAAUUUAGCACCUCUUUCUAUGAGCACAUUAGUAAGAGAUGCACCUUUACACGGCGCAGGUGUGGGACCCUUGGAGGGUCUGGCUCCCUGAACAGCACCCUGGCCUUGAUUACUAUGUUAAUUUGGAAAACAGGUCAUUGGAAAUUAAAUGGCUUAAAAUAGGUCACCAAUUAUAACUCUGCAUUCUAUUAAAAUGAGAGCAUCUGAAAUCUUUAUUAGUUUAUUGUAAUUAAAGGCAAAAUAUUCAGAGUUGAAUUAUUGCCGGUUCUGUUUUGCAUCUCGGCACCACACGUCCUCUGGCGGCCUCGUGAAACGCUGUCUAGAAAGACCCUGUCCCUGCGGCACCUCGACUCAGAGUCUGUGAGAAUCGUUUUGUGACUGAAGUCCCAGCAGGACAGAAAACAAACGAAUAAUAAGCACAGUUUUUAGUCAUGAUUAAUCAAAACGAGAGAAAGUUUCAUCCAUCAGCAAAACGGCACCACUACACUGACCCCUCCUCCAGCAGCACCCACCCCGGGAGGCUUUGUUUGUCUCCGGGCUCCAGGACAGGGCCAGGAGAGCCAGCAGGUGAAGACCCGGAGUCCUCAGCCUUGAUUCCUCUCUGGCUGCAUCACAAUCCACAGCCCAGACACUCAGCUCUGGGGCUCACUCAUCUUCUUAGCGGACCACACUGAGAAUCCCCGUCGGCCUGCAGGAAAACAGAGAGAGGCUGUGCUGCCUCCACCUGGGCCUCCCGGGAGGAACCUGCUGUGUGCCCCAGGAGUCAGUACUCGAAGGUAUGCCUGCUCUCUGGCCUCCGCGCCUGCCAGCCUGGGAACCUGGACGCCGCCACCUGACCCGGCCUCCCUGGCUGCGUCUGUUUUGGAAAAGGAGUUUCUGGAGCACAGCCCUGGCCGGUUGAGCUUCCUCCGCAGCGCCCAGCGUACGCUUAGUCAUUUAUCCUUCAGCCAACCCAGCUGGCCUUUGAAGCCGGUUGCUGGUGUUAUUGCGAGAAAUCAUUUUGCACUUUAUUUUGAACAAAAGGACACGUUGCCGAAUGGGCUUCUUGCUGGCGGGAUUGCACUAUUUUUAUUGCAAUUGAGCUCCGUCGUGUGAUCCUGAGUGAAAAGCACACUCUAAAAAUAAGCUGCAGGCUGCCCCCGACUCCAGCCAACCCAGGAGAAGACGCUUCAUGUCCUGACCUUGGCACGGCCCACUCUGCCAGGGGGAUGUCAACCUUGCGACCAGGAACCCAUUUUCCCAAAGCAUCAACACCCGCCACAGGGAAACCCUCCUCUGCUCUGGCUCUGAUCAGACCCGGGAAGAAACCUCUGCCAGCCACGCCCCUCCCGUCAGGCCAGGCCAGUGUCUGAGGCUGGAGAGGGCCACCUUGUCCGAGGCUGGAGACGGGGGUCGCUCUGAGACCCAGCCUGGCUGGACUCUGACCGCUCCAAGCACCUUCAAGCUCACCUGGCCUGUGAUCGGC